UUCAGCUGAUGCCAUGGACACAACAAGAAAAAGAUUUUCCCACGAUCUGAAAUUCGUUGAAAAUGGAGUGUGAAACAAAUCUAGUUGAAUUUGUGAAAACAAACGAGUGCUUCAGGUCGAAGGAACAUCGACUGUGUGAAACCAGCCACACGAGAUAGAAAAUUUGGACUGAUAUACCAAAUGCACUGAAACAAGGAGUGUUGAAACGAAAGUGGAAGAGCCGUUACGUGAUAGAUAUUCGCGGAAUAAAUGUGCUCCAAGUAUAGGAUUGACACCGAUUGAAGCAUCAUCAAGGCAGUAUUUUGAAGCAUUAAAGAUUCUGUAAACACUUGUCAGCAAAUGAAGGACUGCCAGCAACUACGACCCUGAACGAUCAGUUCUCAGCACAAAAAUAUUGAUCUUCGCGACAUUAAGCUGAUGGUGAAAACAAUGCAUGCAGCAAAACCUCCG